UUGGACGAAAUGUUUUCUUCCUAUGGUUUUCACAAGGGUUUUCUCUUUGAAAUUUGGCAAUCUUCUUCUUUAGUUGAAAUAAUUUUUUAUUCAGUUUAUAGAUUAGAAUCAGAGUUGUAUAUUGGAUUUUCUAUUUGCUGUAUUUAGUAUUUUAGGCUUCCAUUUGAGUUAGUAAAUCUGUACAGUAAGGCAAUGGGGCUUUUUUUUUUUUUUUUUUCCUUCCUCUGGUCCUUGUAUAGUAUAGGCUGAUUUUUGGGAGAUCCUUUUGGAUCGAUGACCGUGUGUAGUCUGAGUUUUGGUUGUAUUGAUCUUUAACUCUCUCUUGGAAGGUUCUUGCACAUAGUGUCCGGCUCCUUUACCCCUAAGCCCUUGAGAUUAGGCUUGACCGAAUUGGGUGAACAUUUCUGGUUUUGUUUCUAUUUUCGCACCAUGUGUUUAUGUUGUUUUUCUUGCUUGUUUUGUUCAUUUGGGUUAAAAUACCCAACAAUAGAGAUGCAUUUUACUAAUGUUGUUGUUCUUAAUUGAAUUCUUGUGUGAUUAAUAUUUAGUAAGGCUUAUCCAGAUUCACUUUGAAUUAAAAUCAGAUUUAUUAUAAUCUUUGUUUUCAUAGAUUUAUAAUUUUUAGUAUCAGAAUUAGAAUCAUUUUAAAUUGUUUUC
rnacentral:lncRNA from 1 species